UUGGAGAUGUGGGGCAACAAGUCAGAGAGGGAGCUAACAAGACACACCGACGCUCACCGAGCUUAAAUGGUUUUAGACUUCAAAGUACUUCAGACGCUGUUGACAUCUCACAGAUACAGGUGUGGCGCUCCCAGACGUCGGUGCAGCGGCUGUGAGCUGGACAAGGAGACGAGACACAGGGGCUUUCCGACAUUACAGCCAGUCUCCACCUUGACAACUCUGGAUGGGCGCGGGAGGGCGGGGGCAUCUGGCCUCACGCCCAGACGAACUCCCUGCAGGUGAAGCGAGGAUCGUGUCGAAGUGAGGUAAGAAAUAGCUGAGAAAUGACUGAUUUCCUCUGACAUUGAAAGCUUCCAUCUGCCCAUCCACCACAACAUUAAAAAUUCAGUGCAUUAAUCUUCA